CUCCCCCGUAUGUUUCUCCACCAACGCUUCCUCUCUCCAAUCUCUCUCUUUCUUGAUGAAAAAGGAAACCAUCAUCUCUCUCCAACCUGAAGAAAACGAGUUUCACGGCAUGGAUCCAAUUGAUCAACACCUUACUGCCUAAAAUUUGAGUUCCUCAUCUAGAUCGGCCACACUACAUUGAUAUCCCGUAGUAUAUUCUGCAGCUAUUUCUUGCUCCGACACAAAUAUCGAUGAUCUCAGCCGUUGAAUCAUACCAAGGUUUGUUGGAGGCCUCCGAUCCAAUCUCCCCAUCAACGUCUAACAUGUCUACUACUCUCCGGGAUGUCUAUGGUUGAUGAAGAAGGAUUCCAAAUUCUGACCGAUGUCCUGGUGGCACAGCCCGACAUAGCCGAUGCAACAGGCAGAGUUCUUUCCAGCGAUUACGCACCUAUGGAAGCUAAUUCGACUACUUUUUGAACUGACCGGAUGCCGAAAGCAGCUAUAUACUUGGAGAUCGAUUCAGCAACAUCGCAACAGGGAGCAAAUGGAGCCAGUCUUUACAUAUCUCUUUGACCAGAAAGUACGUCGCAACUCGACGGAUCAUCUCAGUUAAAGAAGAGCUCAGUCCAGACCAACACGUGAAUCAUUUUAUAAGCAUUCAACGGAUCCGUAUUUGCAUUUGGGGAGAUCCAAGGGUACAUGCUCCAACACUUUAAGCAAACAGCACAAGUGCUCUGUACUGCUCCUCUCCAAUUGUACCCAAAUGUGUACUUCUUUCUCCCUGUUGCAUAAGUUUUUCUUAUUCUGACU